rnacentral:ncRNA from 1 species
UUUAUGUAUUGAGUUUUUUGCGCGAAGUGCAACAAAGUCAAGCUCCGGUAAACGGCAGCAGUAACUAUAACUGUUCUACGGUAGCGAAGUUCCUUGUCGGGUAAGUUCCGACCCGCACGAAAGGCGUAACGAGUUAGCAACUGUCUCGAGCCUCUACUCGGCGAAAUUGCGAUGGCUGUGAAGACGCGGCCUACUUCCACCUGGACAAAAAGACCCCGUGGAGCUUUACUGUAGCUUGGCAUUGAUUUGUGCGAACCAAUUGUUUAGCGUAGGAGGGACCAGGUACCUUAUGGUACCUGGAAAAGUGAAACACCUCCCUUUGGGGCGUGGCAAAUCUUACUUAAGUUCGAUGAAUACUCGAACAAGGAAAGUGUUAGGUGGGCAGUUUUACUGGGGCGGUACCUUGCCAAAAGGUAACGCAAGGGCACAAAGGUCGGCUUAGCACGGAUGGACAUCGUGCAUAAUGUGUAAAGGCAUAAGCCGGCUUGACAGUGACACUGACGGGUGAAACUGGAACGAAAGUUGGUCUUAGUGAUCCUCCGAUGCAGCAUGGAAUGCACGGAGCUUAACGGAUAAAAGCUACCCCGGGGAUAACAGAGUAGUCGCGCCCGAGAGUCCAUAUCGACGGCGCGGUUCGCUACCUCGAUGUCGGCUCAGCGUAUCCUGGGGCUGGNNNNNNNNNNNNNNCGAUGUCGGCUCAGCGUAUCCUGGGGCUGGAGAAGGUCCCAAGGGUUGGUCUGUUCGCCCAUUAAAACGCUACGUGAGCUGGGUUCAGAACGUCGCGAGACAGUUCGGACUCUAUCCGGUGGAAGCGUUCGAGUCUUGAGGGGAGCUCUCCUCAGUACGAGAGGACCAGGAGGGGAGAAUCUCUGGUGCGCCGGUUGUCGUGUCAACGGCAUUGCCGGGUAGCUAUAUUCUUUAGGGAUAACCGCUGAAAGCAUAUAAGUGGGAAGCCCACCCCAAGAUUAGGACUCGUGCCUUGUCCUUGGACAAGGUGUAAGGUCUCCUGAAGAAGACAGGGUUAAUCGAAAGGCAGUGGAAGAGCCGUAAGGCUUUAAGCUUACCUUUGCGAAUCGACCUAAAUUAAGACUUU